AACGAACGCUGGCGGCAUGCCUAACACAUGCAAGUCGAACGAGACCUUCGGGUCUAGUGGCGCACGGGUGCGUAACGCGUGGGAACCUGCCCUUAGGUUCGGAAUAACUCCCCGAAAGGGGUGCUAAUACCGGAUAAUUUCUUCGGACCAAAGAUUUAUCGCCUUUGGAUGGGCCCGCGUUGGAUUAGCUAGUUGGUAGGGUAAAAGCCUACCAAGGCGACGAUCCAUAGCUGGUCUGAGAGGAUGAUCAGCCACACUGGGACUGAGACACGGCCCAGACUCCUACGGGAGGCAGCAGUGGGGAAUAUUGGACAAGGGGCGAAAGCCUGAUCCAGCAAUGCCGCGUGAGUGAUGAAGGCCUUAGGGUUGUAAAGCUCUUUUACCCGGGAUGAUAAUGACAGUACCGGGAGAAUAAGCUCCGGCUAACUCCGUG
rnacentral:rRNA from 1 species